ensembl:Mt_tRNA
AAGAGUUUAGGUUAACAUCAAACCCAAAGCCUUCAAAGCUUUAUAUAAGAGUGCAAAUCUCUUAACCCUUA